rnacentral:rRNA from 1 species
GGAAUAUUGGUCAAUGGGCGAAAGCCUGAACCAGCAACGCCGCGUGCGCGAUGAAGGCCUUCGGGUCGUAAAGCGCUUUUGGGAGGGAUGAAAAUGACAGUACCUCCCGAAUAAGGAUCGGCCAACUACGUGCCAGCAGCCGCGGUAAGACGUAGGAUCCAAGCGUUAUCCGGAAUUACUGGGCGUAAAGGGCGUGUAGGAGGUUGGGCAAGUCGGCCAUGAAAGCUCCCGGCUCAACUGGGAGAGGCUGGUCGAUACUGCCUGGCUAGAGGGCAAGAGAGGGAGGUGGAAUUCCCGGUGUAGUGGUGAAAUGCGUAGAUAUCGGGAGGAACACCAGUGGCGAAGGCGGCCUCCUGGCUUGUACCUGACUCUGAAACGCGAAAGCAUGGGUAGCAAACAGGAUUAGAAACCCUGGUAGUCCAUGCCAUAAACGAUGUCAACUGGGUGUCGGCGAAGUAAAAUUUGUCGGUGCCGAAGCUAACGCGUUAAGUUGACCGCCUGAGGACUACGAUCGCAAGAUUAAAACUCAAAGGAAUUGACGG